UACAGAGGGGGCAAGCGUUGUUCGGAAUUACUGGGUGUAAAGGGCGCGUAGGCGGCCUUCUAAGUCAUGCGUGAAAUCCCUGGGCUCAACCCAGGAACUGCGUCUGAUACUGGAAGGCUUGAAUCCGGGAGAGGGAUGUGGAAUUCCAGGUGUAGCGGUGAAAUGCGUAGAUAUCUGGAGGAACACCGGUGGCGAAGGCGGCAUCCUGGACCGGUAUUGACGCUGAGGCACGAAAGCGUGGGGAUCAAACAGG
rnacentral:rRNA from 1 species